GUCCACGCCGUAAACGAUGAUCACUAGAUGUUGGAUUUGCUUAGCAGAUUCAGUGUCGACGCUAACGCAUUAAGUGAUCCGCCUGGGGAGUACGGUCGCAAGGCUAAAAACUCAAAGAAAUUGACGGGGGGUCCGCACAAGCGGUGGAACAUGUGGUUUAAUUCGACACUACGCGAGGAACCUUACCUAGGCUUGACAUGUAUCUGCUACCAAUAGAAACAUUGGGUUCCAUGGAAACAUGGACGGUUACACAGGUGCUGCAUGGCUGUCGU
rnacentral:rRNA from 1 species